rnacentral:rRNA from 1 species
AGAGUUUGAUCAUGGCUCAGAGUGAACGCUGGCGGCGUGCUUAACACAUGCAAGUCGAACGGAUGAAAUAAGCUUGCUUAUUUCGUUAGUGGCGCACGGGUGAGUAAUGUAUAGCUAACCUGCCCUUUAGUGGGGGACAACAGUUGGAAACGACUGCUAAUACCCCAUACUCCAGCCUAUCAAAAGGUAGGUUGGGAAAGAUUUAUUGCUAAAGGAUGGGGCUUUAUGGUAUCAGCUAGUUGGUGGGGUAACGGCCUACCAAGGCAAUGACGCCUACCUGGUCUGAGAGGAUGAUCAGGCACACUGGAACUGAGACACGGUCCAGACUCCUACGGGAGGCAGCAGUGGGGAAUAUUGCACAAUGGGGGAAACCCUGAUGCCAGCAACGCCGCGUGGAGGAUGACGCAUUUCGGUGUGUAAACUCCUUUUAUAAGGGAAGAUAAUGACGGUACCUUAUGAAUAAGCACCGGCUAACUCCGUGCCAGCCGCUGC